rnacentral:rRNA from 1 species
AUGAAGCUGGAAUCGCUAGUAAUCGCGAAUCAGAAUGUCGCGGUGAAUACGUUCCCGGGUCUUGUACACACCGCCCGUCACACCAUGGGAGUCGGAAAUGCCCGAAGUCAGUGACCCAACCGUAAGGAGGGAGCUGCCGAAGGUGGAGCCGGUAACUGGGUGAAGUCGUAACAAGGUACC